AUUUAAAUAGUUUAUUAAAAUAUUGAUUUGUGGGGUCAAAGUUAUAAUUUUUGUUAUUUUAAAUA
rnacentral:tRNA from 1 species